rnacentral:lncRNA from 1 species
CGGGGCAUCUGCAGAUCCCCUCGGUCAGGGGCUGCCCCGCCUGGGCUGUUCGGAGCAGCUCCUCUGUAGGGCAGGGCCUGACCUCACCCGACACCCCAGUGGCUUCAGCUCCCUGCCCAGCGCACGGGCUGCCUCCAUCAGGGCACUUAAGUAGGGUCAAGGUUUGCGCCGACUCCGUCUCCCAGAAAUCAACAUGGACCAGGCCCACUUAAAAAAUAUGCAUUAGUCGAAGACAGACGUCUCGUCCAUAGGUCCCAGACUCUGUCCACAACGCAGGGCUUCUCUUUGUGGGCCUGAAAGAGCACACGUCAGGCAAGACACGAGGGCAACUUCAGAGACACUGCUCAGGGCCACGGAGAAUUCUCGAAGUCUGUGAGUUGCCUCCAAAACAGCCUCCAGGAAAUGCAAUCCCAGAGACACCGCAAAGCUCGAAACAGACUUUUCAUUCCUCCCCGUUUCCACUCCCAGAAAAAGCCUGGGCCCCUGAAAGAGCUCCAAGAGAUCUCCAGGGGUCCAGAAAUAACACCUCACAGCCUUCCAAGCUUCCCAAGGAUCUAGAGACUCCUUAUCUCGCAGCGCAAACCUCAGGCAACUACAGGUCUUCCCUGCACCUCUGAGGUGCCCCUCCCCCCACUCAAGGUUCCAGAAAAAAUCCAUGCCCUCGGAAACCCCAGAAUCUUACUUUCCCGAGGCACCCCCAGGACCCCAGGGUCAUCAGUUCACAGGGCUGUUAGUGCUCCCAUAAAACUCUAGCCUCCCAGAGGGACCC